UACGUAGGGCGCAAGCGUUGUCCGGAAUUAUUGGGCGUAAAGAGCUCGUAGGCGGCUUGUCACGUCGAUUGUGAAAGCCCGAGGCUUAACCUCGGGUCUGCAGUCGAUACGGGCUAGCUAGAGUGUGGUAGGGGGAGAUCGGAAUUCCUGGUGUAGCGGUGAAAUGCGCAGAUAUCAGGAGGAACACCGGUGGCGAAGGCGGGUCUCUGGGCCGUAACUGACGCUGAGGAGCGAAAGCAUGGGGAGCGAACAGG
rnacentral:rRNA from 1 species